UAUAUUAAAUGAAUGUAAUGUUUCAUACAUGUUUGGCAGACCUUGAUUCAUGUCUGCUGGCGAAAGGCUGCUGAAGGCUGAGGCAGCUGUAACUGAGGCCACAAAGAAGGUUUAUUUAGAGGAACCAGACCUCUCAGGAGUGAUGGCAGACCUUCAGGAUUUGUAUAGAAACUUCCACUCAAAGAUCAACAAAGUAGAUGAAGAAUGAUAUGACUUGGCAGCCAAACUGACCAAAAAUAACAAGGAGAUUGAGGAACUGAAGAGGUCAGCCAAGUUCAAGAAGCCUGGGGGGGCUCCUCACAGAAGGCAAGUUUAAACUUAAGGACCAACCUCAAACAGGUGAAGAAAGAAGUCAUAGAGGGGGUGAGUAAACACCACUCAAAACAAAUACAUUUAAUCUUUUGCAAAUUGAAGAUGAAACUUCUCUUU
ensembl:lncRNA